rnacentral:rRNA from 1 species
CCUACGGGAGGCAGCAGUGGGGAAUAUUGGACAAUGGGCGCAAGCCUGAUCCAGCAAUGCCGCGUGAGUGAGGAAGGCCUUAGGGUUGUAAAGCUCUUUCACCCGCGACGAUGAUGACGGUAGCGGGAGAAGAAGCCCCGGCUAACUACGUGCCAGCAGCCGCGGUAAU